rnacentral:rRNA from 1 species
GACGAACGCUGGCGGCGUGCUUAACACAUGCAAGUCGAACGGAAAGGCCCUGCUUUUGUGGGGUGCUCGAGUGGCGAACGGGUGAGUAACACGUGAGUAUCCUGCCCUUGACUUUGGGAUAACUUCAGGAAACUGGGGAUACUACCGGCUAGGAGCUCCUGCUGCAUGGUGGGGGUUGGAAAGUUUCGGCGGUUGGGGAUGGACUCGCGGCUUAUCAGCUUGUUGGUGGGGUAGUGGCCUACCAAGGCUUUGACGGGUAGCCGGCCUGAGAGGGUGACCGGCCACAUUGGGACUGAGAGACGGCCCAGACGCCUACGGUAGGCAGCAGUGGGGAAUAUUGCACAAUGGGCGGAAGCCUGAUGCAGCGACGCCGCGAGCGGGAAGACGGCCUUCGGGUGGUAAACCGCUUUCGCCUGUGACGAAGCGUGAGUGACGGUAAUGGGUAAAGAAGCACCGGCUAACUACGUG